UACAGAGGGUGCAAGCGUUAUCCGGAUUUAUUGGGCGUAAAGCGUUUCGUAGGCGGUUUGUUGUGUCGUGCUUUAAAGGCCAGAGCUCAACUUUGGUAAGGGGCGCGAAACUAAUAGACUGGAAAUAUUUCGGGGCUACCGGAACUCACGGUGUAGGAGUGAAAUCCGUUGAUAUCGUGAGGAACACCAAGGGCGUAGGCAGGUAGCUAGGGAUCUUUUGACGCUGAUGAACGACAGCUAGGGGAGCGAAAGGG
rnacentral:misc_RNA from 1 species